CCCAAAUCCACAGGAACCACCCCAAAAUCUGUGGGAACCACCCCAAAAUCCACAGGAACCACCCCAAAAUCCACAGGAACCACCCCAGGUGAGCCCCAGGUGAGCCCCGGGUCAGGAUUUGGGUCCUUCAGGUGCUCCAAGGACUCACCUGGACUCACCUGGACUCACCUGGAGCUCACCUGGAGCUCACCUGGAGCCCACCUGGACUCACCUGGACUC